GCAUAUCAAUUAAGCGGAGG
rnacentral:rRNA from 4 species